rnacentral:piRNA from 1 species
UGCUUGUUUGAGACAGGUUUCAGGCAUCCCA